UGAGAUGUUGGGUUAAGUCCCGCAACGAGCGCAACCCUUGCCUUUAGUUGCCAGCAGUUCGGCUGGGCACUCUAAAGGGACUGCCGGUGGUUAAACCGGAGGAAGGUGGGGAUGACGUCAAGUCCUCAUGGCCUUUAUGACCAGGGCUACACACGUACUACAAUGGCCGGUACAAAGGGUUGCCAAGCCGCGAGGUGGAGCUAAUCCCAUAAAACCGAUCGUAGUCCGGAUCGCAGUCUGCAACUCGACUGCGUGAAGUCGGAAUCGCUAGUAAUCGUGAAUCAGAAUGUCACGGUGAAUACGUUCCCGGGCCUU
rnacentral:rRNA from 1 species